rnacentral:lncRNA from 1 species
ACUCUUCAGCUGAUAUCCACUUGCUGACAAAUGAAUCUCUCUGGCCCCUGGACUGUGCCCUGAAACACAGCUUAAAACAGUUAAGUGCAUAGACAAUAUGCCACAACAUGGCACAGCUGUAGAUGGGAUGGGACAAAAAGAGGCAAUUGUUAGAGUAGUUACUGAGGUCACAAAUUCAAUUUUGGUUAGUGUUAUGGUUCAAUCAUGGGCUCUUAUUCAGACUGCCCAGGUUCAAAUCCUGGCUCUGCCAUUUCCUAGCUCCGAGGCCACUAGUACAGUUAAUUAAUCUCUCUGUUGUUCAAUAUUAUUCUAUGUUAAGUGUAGGUAAUAAUAUUAGUCAGGACAUAAGUUGUUGUCAGGAAUAAAUCGAGGUGUAUCAUGUAAGGGAUUAGCAAGCCCCUGGCACCUAGUAAGUGUUCAAUGAAAGUUAUCUAUUAUUGCCAGUGACUAGCAAAUUGAGACUUUGUAAUAUUUAUUUCCAUUCAAUUCUAUUCAACUGCAACAGUAUUACUGCAUAUCUAACAUGUUAAAGCAUUGUCCUACGUGUUGAGGGAUAAAAGUAUAACAAAAAUAUGGCUCUGACCUCAAAGAACUUAGCAUUGAUGGAGUGAAGUUAUACCUGGCUAACAGCAAUGAAGGUUUGAAAAUACCAGAACAGAGGCACAAACCAUGUUUACACACCAUUUGGGUUGAAGGAGAAUCUAUGAUUCUUACUUGAAGUGGAAAGGAAGAUGGUAGAGGACAACCAGCUGAUCAUUUGAGCUAAUCUUGGGAUGAUAAGUCAGAAUUAUUAGUAAAAAAAAGAUUGGAAGUGUGAGAGGCUAUUCUGAUGGAUUUUGGGGUGCAGGAAGAUGGGAAGUUGUAGGGAUUGUUCUGAGACUGACAAAUGGUCUGAUACACAUGAAGCAUGCAUCUUAUUUCAUGGGGAGCCUGCAUGACACAGAGAAAGGAGCAUCAGCUUUGGAGUCGGUUUGACCUGUGACUGGAUCUUUGUUCUGUCUCAAUAGACAUGGCCUGGCCAUGAUGCGGAACCUCACAUCCGUUAUAUGUGUAACGAUGAUGAUGAUAAUCACAUAUGUUCCAUAGUGUUGUUGUGGGCAUUUAUGGGAAUAAUAUAGGUAAAGCACUUGGCAUUUGAUAGCCACCAAUGAAUAUUUUCUUUGUGGAGCAGAGAGUAGGAGGUUUGCUCAGCAGUUUUUCAGAUAGCCCAAAUGCCAGCUGGAGCUCCCCUGUGCUCUGAGGCUUAGGGAAAAUAGACCCAAGCCCCCAGUGCACUUUCUAUGCUGUCUCCACAUUGCCAGGUCACUUCUGGUUCUGAGCUUCACCCUAACUCUCCUCGUGCCCCUUGCUUCUCUUCCAGAAGCUGUCCUUGAGCUGAGAACGGUAGGAUGAAGUUUUUUUUUUUCCCUAGGCAGAAUGAACAGUAAUCCCAGAGAUCCUGAGAUGAGAAAAGGGUGUUUGACUUAUUCAAAGAAGACCAAGGAAGCCCAAAGACCAGAGAAGAGUGCAGGAAAGGGGCGGCGGUCUGAGAUGCAGUCAGAGCAGUGGCAAGCCCCCAGAGUCUGUGGCAAAGACUUCAGGUUUCAUCCUGAAGAGGAAGACAGGUCUUUGGAGAGUUUUGAUCAAGGAAGUGAGAUGAAAUAUCUUAGGCUUACAAAGAACUACUCUGACAUCUAAAUGGAAAAUGGACUGAUGAAGCAAAAGAAGCCACAAGGAAGCCAGUUCAGAGGCUAUUGAAAUGCUCCAGCCCUAUAUUAGGUAUUGAGGGUUCAGGGAUGAACUAAGCUGAUCUGGUUCCUGCUCUCUAGGCUGUAGAAGAUGGCAAGUGCUGUGGACUUCAAAGAAAAGAUUUCUGAAGUGUCAUGUUAUGACAAUUGUGCAUCCAAGAUACAUUGGUUGUUUGCUUAACCAUCGUUUUCGCAUGUGCCAUCUGUCAAAGUCUGGAAGAAACCUAAGAUGUGUUGCAUUAAAUUUGAAGAUUCCUCCUGUUCAGAAGCAAGAAACAAACAAAAUCAAUAAGUACUCAUUAAUUAAGAAAACAGAGCAUUAUUAUGAAAUCAUACACAUGGAAAACUUAUCAACAAUAAAAAUAACGACAAACACCAUUACAUUCUCCUUUAUAGGAGACAAACAGUAUAAACCCCAAGGAAGAGUGAUUUCUCUAUGAUCUAGUAAGUUCUAAAAAUUAAAGUCCAACUAACUUUAAGGUA